UCAUUAUAUAUGUUAGUCAACGUUUAUUCAUAAAUCUGGUCAUUCACCGUCACAUGCGUAUUGUAUUUUGCCCAACUAACCAAUAGCAAUGUUUUAGGAGAGUUACCUAUCCGUGACUCGAACAAUAUAGGGUAAAUUGGAAAUUGCUAUUGGUGGAUUUGGCCAUAAUACAAUACCCACGUGAUGAUGAACGACCAAAUUUAUGAAUAAACGUUGACUAACGUAGAUAAUGAAUAUAGCAAAGCGAGCCAGCGGCCCCAGCCCCCAGCGUUCAGUGUUGGCGUAAUUAUGAAUACUUCAUGUUGAAACAACGUUUGGAAAAUAUAGGUGAGGAGAUGUUGUAUGCAUGUGUUUCUAGUUAGUUUUUAAAAUAUCGCGCAUUUAUCUUCGUGAAAAGUAAGGCAGCUACUCUAUAAUCUUCACGCUGUUUGCUGGCAUUUUCGAUUUAGGGGCGCCCACGCGGCGGAAAUUCCAAAAUAGUCAUUAGCGCGCCAUUAGCAAGGGCUAAUGAAGACAUUGUAGAUCGAGAAAAACGAAGCUGUUGGUGUGAUUUGGAGUUCCCGCCGUUUUAUUUCGCGAAUUUAUAUUGUAUAGCCGUAUCUUCGCUUGAAUACCACCAUGGAGAAGGCAAAGGUAUGAUAUUAUCAUAAACAUAUACGGGUAGACUUCCUGCAGGAAGAUAUAUUUGGUGAAGGCUUGCGAGUUUUAGUAAACUAGGCAAACUAGCGUUGAUAGUUACGGUCGGCUUGACAG